UCUAAUACCGGAUAUCACUUCCACCCUCCUGGGUGGGGGUUGAAAGCUCCGGCGGUGGAGGAUGAGCCCGCGGCCUAUCAGCUGGUUGGUGAGGUAACGGCUCACCAAGGCGACGACGGG
rnacentral:rRNA from 1 species